rnacentral:tRNA from 1 species
AGAAAUUUAGGUUAAAUAAGACCAAGGACCUUCAAAGCCCUUAGUAAGUAAGUUACUUAAUUUCUG